rnacentral:rRNA from 1 species
UACGUAGGGUGCAAGCGUUAAUCGGAAUUACUGGGCGUAAAGCGUGCGCAGGCGGUUUUGUAAGACAGAGGUGAAAUCCCCGGGCUCAACCUGGGAACUGCCUUUGUGACUGCAAGGCUUGAGUGCGGCAGAGGGGAUGGAAUUCCGCGUGUAGCAGUGAAAUGCGUAGAUAUGCGGAGGAACACCGAUGGCGAAGGCAAUCCCCUGGGCCUGCACUGACGCUCAUGCACGAAAGCGUGGGGGCAACAGG